rnacentral:sRNA from 1 species
AUAUCAAAAAGUCCUUCAAGCUAUGUCUUUGGAUGAGGACGAACCUAUCACACAGUCGACUCCAAUACUUGUUUUUGUUGAAGUUUGGUAUGAUAUAAGGGCAUCUCCAUCACUGAGAUACCUUCUUGGUUUCUCAAAAAAAAAAAAUAUUAGUAUUUUAAUAAAUAUUAGUUAUAUAAUUAAAUUUUAACAAUAAAAUAAUAUUUGACCUGAUAUACAAGUGUUCUUAUGGGUUUCUCAAAGUUUCUCACUUGAGAAACUAAUUCUACUCUCUCUCAUACUUUUUAAUUAUAUUUUAUUUUUAUAUUGAACAGUUUCUCAAUUAAGAAAUUAUUGAUGGAGAUGGUCUAAGUAUAAACAUACCUUUUCGCUCUUAUUGUUUUU